GUGGGUUUUUGCGACGCCAUUCGCGCCUCUUCGAGGUGGCCCUCUGGUCCGGCUUUAGAACUCCGCGCUUUUGUGGAGCUCGAGAGUCCGGGGUAGCUGGGACAAGGUAGACCCAGGAUAUCGACCUUUUUAUUUUUAACUGCAUUUUCAGUUUGGAGGUUGUAAAAUAGGUAUAACAUUUAAGAAAAAAAUUUUGAAAGAGUGCUGCCAAUUCUUUGAAAAUAUGAAGCUGGAUGUGGUGGGAAGAACAAGCGUUUUGGCACAAAAAGAUGAUUAAUUGGAUGAACUGUAAAUGGAAAACGUGGAUAUCUAUUGGAUGCUGAUGAUUAUGAAACAAAGUAGCAAAGAUAAGAAGCCAUUUGCUCAUUCUGCUCCUUUGCCAGCAAUAUUUCACAAAGCCCCUGACUCCUUGACUGUGAGCAGCCUUGUGGAAGAAUGCCUUGAAGACCAUAAGCAGGAUAGGGAACAGGGGUGCACAUCUCUUGCCUGAAUCACUGAAUUUUUACAAAAGAAGAGGUUCAAUUAAGUGGUUGAAAAGCUUCAGGAAGAAAUUUAAGCUAAAUUGAAAUGAGGGAGUAACAUCAGCAAGAUGAUGAAAUGGAAGAUCCCCUACUAUCACUCCCUCCAUAAAAAUACAACUAGAAACUACGUAAAGACAAGAACACAACCCUGAGUUCACCACAAUUCAAGGGAGAAUUGAAGAAACCUCCAGGGCCCUCAGAAUUGAGAGAAGCUGUGACAGAUAAGAAAAAUGGCUGUUUCAGACAUUGCAGCCCCCUCCAUCAAGCUGGCAUAAUGCCGCUCAUAGAGAAUUUUCCUAGACUCAUGGUUUCUAAGGUAAGAAGAGGGAGUUGGAAGUGGACAUACGAUCUCCCCACCAGUCUGGGAAUCUUCUCAGGAAGCCCACUUCUGCCCCAUCCCCUGGGAACAACUGGGAGUGUCAGAAGGGCUGAACAACUUGGGAUGAACUGAGACAAAGUGUGGGACACUGAUCAUAGUGACUGGCAUGUGGAUCUUGGCAGUUACUCUUCACUCCAAUCAGUAUGGACACCACAUUGAAGAGAUUGGCUGGCACCAUAGUGCUAUAGGGGACACACUCUGUGAGAAGGCCUGAAUCCCUGGCCAGAUUUCAACAAAGACUAGGUGUUCCCAUUGAGUCUCCACUGGACCAGAAACAACUAGAAACGUUGGGAUUGAGUUCCAAUGACUGCUUAAGUCUUCCACAAACUGGGAGACAGUGGCAGGGCAGCCAUAUAGCUCCAGGGCAUUGUUAACUUAGUGUUCACUAUAAGUCUUCCUCAGACUGGGAAACAGUGGCAGGGCAAAAGUUAGUUCCAGUGCAGUGAGUUAGUUCUGGUACUUACUAUAAAUUAUCCCCCCCCCAAAAAAAAAAAAAAGAAUAUCAGCAGUUAAAUUCUGAUACUAAGUAGUAAAGGUCAAACACCACCAAAAACACCUUUAAGAACUGGAAGAGGUAGCUAUCUCCUAAAAUUUGCAGGUAUUAAGGCAAAGCCACAAGAAUUGUAAAAACUCAGGGAAAUAUGACCUUACCAAAAGAAAUCAACAAAGCUCCAACAAUGGAGCUAGAAUAUGUGAAGACCUAGGAAAUGUUAAACAGACAAUUCAAAAUAAUCCUCUUAAACAAAUUCAGAGAAUCACAAGAAAAUAUAGAUAGAAAAAAAAUAAAAUUUGGAAAGUAACCCAGGAACAAAAUGAGAUAUUUGACAAAGAAAUAAGAAAUAAAAACAAACAAAUCCAUUAUUUCUAGGGUUUCUAGAAAUAAAGAAACCAUAACUAAACUGACGCAAUAACUAAACUGAAAAACUCAUUAGAAAGCUUCAACAGCAGACUUGAUUAGAGAAAAUAUUAGCAAGUUUGAAGACAGCACAUAUGAAAUUACCUAAUCAGAGGAGAAAAAAAGAAAAAAGAAUUUAAAAGUGUAAAAAAGAACUUUUUAAGAAUUAUGGCACAUGAUCAAGCAAACUAACCUCUGCAUAGUAGGAAUUCCCAAAGGAGGCAAGAGAGAAAAAGGCCUAGAAGGCAUAUUUAACAAAACAAUGGUGAAAAUUUCCCACAGAUGGAGAAAAAGGACACCAGUCAGAUACAGGAAUCUUGGAGGUAAUCAAUCAAAUUAAACCCAAAGAGGAAAUCCCUAAGGCAUAUCAUAAUCAAAUUAGCAAAAAUCAGAGACAACAGAAAUACUCAGUGCAGCAAAAGAAAAGAAAAAUAUUACAUUAAACAAAGCACCUGUACAGCUUUCACUGGAUUUCACAGCAGAAAUCCUACAGGCCAGGUGAGAAUGGGAAGCUUGAAAGUGCU
rnacentral:lncRNA from 1 species